rnacentral:tRNA from 2 species
GGGUGGAUACUCAAGCGGCAAAGAGGGCAGACUGUAAAUCUGCUGGCGUACGCCUUCGGGGGUUCGAGUCCCUCUCCGCCCA